UCAAUUCGGAACAGAAAGUCAGCGUUAAC
rnacentral:piRNA from 1 species